rnacentral:rRNA from 1 species
UGAGUAAUGCCUAGGAAUCUGCCUGGUAGUGGGGGACAACGUCUCGAAAGGGACGCUAAUACCGCAUACGUCCUACGGGAGAAAGCAGGGGACCUUCGGGCCUUGCGCUAUCAGAUGAGCCUAGGUCGGAUUAGCUAGUUGGUGAGGUAAUGGCUCACCAAGGCGACGAUCCGUAACUGGUCUGAGAGGAUGAUCAGUCACACUGGAACUGAGACACGGUCCAGACUCCUACGGGAGGCAGCAGUGGGGAAUAUUGGACAAUGGGCGAAAGCCUGAUCCAGCCAUGCCGCGUGUGUGAAGAAGGUCUUCGGAUUGUAAAGCACUUUAAGUUGGGAGGAAGGGCAGUAAAUUAAUACUUUGCUGUUUUGACGUUACCGACAGAAUAAGCACCGGCUAACUCUGUGCCAGCAGCCGC